GCUCACGGAGCACCACACACCUCUAUCCGCAUCGAACCACACAUCUCUAUCUGCAUGGCAGACGCCGCCGACGCAAGCCCCAUUACGCCAGCACCGACGAACACCAAGUCCAUGGCAAGUAGAGUUUCUGCUGAUCGAUUUGAUACUUGUGUUUGGUAUGGGCCGGAUGGUAGGGCAUCAAGUGAAAGGAAUAAUUCAUUUCAAAGCGGAUCACUCAGGAUACCAAGGGUUCCAGUGACUUUGAGAUAUAUUUUGAAUUACCCUCGAUGGAUUAAACCAAAUGUGAUUUCAAUCGGUCCUUACUACUAUGGUGAUAAGUAUCUCCAAGAAGUGCAAAAGCUCAAGUAUCAACAUGCCGAGAACUUCAUACGUGAAAGUCAACAACAAAUAAAUGAGUUGUACCAAAAAAUUGAAAAUGAGAUCGACGACCUAGCAAUGUGUUAUGAUUCUUAUCAAGCAACAUCGGAAGAUGACAAAAAGAAACUGGCCACGAUAUUCUUGUUGGAUGGGUGUUUUUUACUACGUUUCAUUUACUACAGCAACAAGGAGGAUGGGAUCAACGCUUUGAAUUUUACAAAUCAUGAUGUGACUUAUAUAAGACAAGACUUGUUCUUGUUAGAGAACCAACUUCCCUAUCAAGUUCUCAAGCUGUUGUUCGAACAUGCCAAUUUUGAGGCAGAGUCGAAAGAUUUUUCAAUGGAAGAGAUGAUAAAAGAUUUUGUCAUAUCUCACAUCCCCUUGCCUCGAGGAAAAUCGGAAAGAGAAACAUCGGAAAGAGGAAAAAUAGAUGAGCCUUGCCAUCUCCUUCACCUUUUGCAACGUGCAGUUUUAGGCCAAUUGGAAACAAAUCACCCACAACAAAAAGAGGAUGAAGCUGGAGGGAAAAAAGCAACGUGAGAGACAAUGUCCCCCUAAAGGAGGAAUUAGAAAGUUGUUGAGGCGACUCCCUGCUUUACUCCCCCACAACAAAGAAGGCAAAGUACAAAGGAAAUCCAUUCGUCACUCGUUCAAAAACGCCCAACAACUUACAAUAGUGGGCAUCCGUUUUAAGCCCAAUGAGACGGGUCAUUUGGGAGAUAUUUCUUUCACUUCUGAUUGCUCUGGCAUUACUGGAUGCCUUAGGCUUCCUCCAAUCACCAUUGACACCUCAACUAUGAUAAUUUUCUUAAACUUGAUAGCCUUCGAAUCCUCAAAUACCCCCAACGACCUUGGCGUAAUCUCUUACCUAUGCUUCCUGGACUCACUCAUUGAUCAUUGGGACGACGUUAAAGAGCUUCAGGCAGCCCAAGUACUCCAUAACUUUUUGGGUGACCAAAGAGAAGUGGCCAAAUUUUUCAACCACGUAUGCGGCAAAUUGGUACCAAAUUCUAAUGCUUAUAAAAAUGUGAAACUACAAAUUCAAAAGCAUAUUGAAAGUCACUACAAGAGCAAAUUGCGGAUAUGGUUGCUUCAAUGCAAGCAUACCUAUUUUAGUAGUCCCUGGAGUAUCAUUGCGUUGUUUGCUGCAUUUUUAGGACUACUCCUUACUGCUAUUCAAGCCUACACUUCACUUGCCUGAAGCUGAUAAGUUGCUUCUUAGUAUCCUAUUAUCCCCGCCUUGUCAGGCACCCUUAGCUCGGGUGAGGAGUGAUGACUACGUCAGGGAAUGGUCAUCAUUAAGAUUUUGCUUAGGAUGUUAUUUGGACAUUAUAAGCUUAUGAGUUUAUGUUCCUUUGGAUUAUUUGGUUUUUGGAAGCUAUUUAGAUAUUGAGCUUUUAAAUAUUUUUUUUGAUAAGUUUGAAGUUGAGAUUUGGAGAUUAUGGAAAUUUGUUAGCACUUGAUUUAUUUGAGCUUGCAAUCUAUUUGGAUAAUGGAUUUUGGUUGAUGGAUGCUUAGUUUUAAAGUUAA